GGCCAGAUGCCAAUGAUGGUGGGUGUGCGGGAAGUGAGGGCGUUCGAGACACACUUAGGUUUGCAUGAUCAAGGCUGGUGACUACCCAGACUCACUGAGGCUAAAGGAAAAAGGAGAGUGUUGGUCUUCCCAAAGGGCUGAUGAAACGUGCAGGGGAUUUGACAUCUGUGAGGAAGACACAGUGAAACCUUCACAGCAUUUCAGCUGAAUGAGAAUUGGAGGAAGAAUAGGAUGUUUGGUGGACAACUGAGGUCUGACAUAAUCUGCCUGCCAAAGUGGUGCAUCUUGGGGCAGCCUGCCUUUGACCCCUACAACUGCAGGAGCAACUACAUAUUUAUAAUCAGAAAUUCUCGGGACCAACAUAGAGAAUAUAUCCAGCAACCCAGAAGGUUCACUUAGCCUCCUUCCAAUCGACAGUUCUCCAAAGUUUUCAGAUGCGCCUGAGCAGCUCUGAGGAAUGGCUUGUCGGUUCAGGUCUCACCACGAGGAACGUUUCUCAUUAGCAGGUCUGUGGAGAUCCUUCCUGGGCUGUUUAUCCUCCUGCGACUCAAAAAAGCAUUCUUCCUCAUAAUCUCUCUCUUUGUUUUUUAAUUGAAAUAUAGUUGAUAUGCAAUCCUAA